rnacentral:rRNA from 1 species
GAGUUUGAUCAUGGCUCAGGAUGAACGCUAGCUACAGGCUUAACACAUGCAAGUCGAGGGGAAACGACAUUGAAGCUUGCUUCGAUGGUCGUCGACCGGCGCACGGGUGAGUAACGCGUAUCCAACCUGCCUCUGACUAAGGGAUAACCCGGCGAAAGUCGGACUAAUACCUUAUGAGGUUUUCUGCAGACAUCUAACGAAAACGAAAGAUUUAUCGGUCAGUGAUGGGGAUGCGUCUGAUUAGUUUGUUGGCGGGGUAACGGCCCACCAAGGCAACGAUCAGUAGGGGUUCUGAGAGGAAGGUCCCCCACAUUGGAACUGAGACACGGUCCAAACUCCUACGGGAGGCAGCAGUGAGGAAUAUUGGUCAAUGGGCGAGAGCCUGAACCAGCCAAGUAGCGUGCAGGAUGACGGCCCUAUGGGUUGUAAACUGCUUUUAUGUGGGGAUAAAGUGAGCUACGUGUAGUUUAUUGCAGGUACCACAUGAAUAAGGACCGGCUAAUUCCGUGCCAGCAGCCGCGGUAAUACGGAAGGUCCAGGCGUUAUCCGGAUUUAUUGGGUUUAAAGGGAGCGUAGGCCGUGGAUUAAGCGUGUUGUGAAAUGUAGACGCUCAACGUCUGAAUUGCAGCGCGAACUGGUUCACUUGAGUAUGCACAACGUAGGCGGAAUUCGUCGUGUAGCGGUGAAAUGCUUAGAUAUGACGAAGAACUCCGAUUGCGAAGGCAGCUUACGGGAGCACAACUGACGCUGAAGCUCGAAGGUGCGGGUAUCAAACAGGAUUAGAUACCCUGGUAGUCCGCACAGUAAACGAUGGAUGCCCGUUGUUAGUUCACUUAUGAAUUAGCGACCAAGCGAAAGCAUUAAGCAUCCCACCUGGGGAGUACGCCGGCAACGGUGAAACUCAAAGGAAUUGACGGGGGCCCGCACAAGCGGAGGAACAUGUGGUUUAAUUCGAUGAUACGCGAGGAACCUUACCCGGGCUUGAAUUGCAGACGAACGAUUCAGAGAUGAAGAGGCCCUUCGGGGCGUCUGUGAAGGUGCUGCAUGGUUGUCGUCAGCUCGUGCCGUGAGGUGUCGGCUUAAGUGCCAUAACGAGCGCAACCCCUUUUUUCAGUUGCCAUCAGGUGAUGCUGGGCACUCUGGAGAUACUGCCACCGUAAGGUGUGAGGAAGGUGGGGAUGACGUCAAAUCAGCACGGCCCUUACGUCCGGGGCUACACACGUGUUACGAAUGGCCGGUACAGAGCGUUGGUUGUGUGCAAAUACGAAUCUAAUCCUUAAAGCCGGUCCCGGUUCGGACUGGGGUUCUGCGAACCCGACCCCGCGAAAGCUGGAUUUCGCUAGUAAUUCGCGCUUCAGCCAUGGCGCGGUGAAAUACGUUUCCCGGGCC